rnacentral:misc_RNA from 1 species
UACGGAGGGUGCAAGCGUUAAUCGGAAUUAUUGGGCGUAAAGCGCACGCAGGCGGUCUGUUAAGUCGGAUGUGAAAUCCCCGGGCUCAACCUGGGAACUGCAUCCGAAACUGGCAGGCUAGAGUCCUGUAGAGGGGGGCAGAAUUCCAGGUGUAGCGGUGAAAUGCGUAGAGAUCUGGAGGAAUACCGGUGGCGAAGGCGGCCCCCUGGACAAAGACUGACGCUCAGGCGCGAGAGCGUGGGGAGCAAACUCG